rnacentral:lncRNA from 1 species
GAUUCACCAUGAUAGCCAUCUUGACGCGCAAGAUCAGCUACAGGUCGACUGAUCCCCUCACCACAACACCACCAGCCGCGCUCAGACCGAGGGUUAUUAAUUUUCGCCCCUUGGUCAUCCACGAACUGGCCCGUUGGGCUAUGGAUCAUCGAUAACAAUGAUAUCGUCCACCUUUCGGUUAUGCGUUCGGUGAGGCCGGGUAAUCCAGAUCAGCUGACUUGGUCCAGGGUAGUGGGACAUCGCCCGAAGAAUCCCUAGCACCCAAGUCGGUGCCGAUCGUGGCCACAACUUCACCAACGGAACCAUACUAAGUGUCGACGGAUAUUAGGAUUAAGAAACUAGAAAA